rnacentral:ncRNA from 1 species
AAUAAAUUUUUUAUGAUUUAUAAGAUUUAAUUUAAAUUUAUUUUACAUAUAAAUUUUAGUAUGUAUUUUUAAUUAUUUUAAUAAUUUUUAAAAAUUUAAUUUAAUAGUAAUUAAUAUUAAAAAUUUAAGAAAUUAAGAUUUAGUAAUAUUUAUUUAUUAUUAACAAAUUUUGUGCCAGCAGUUGCGGUUAAACAAAAAAUAAUUUAAAUUUUAUUAGUAAAUAAUAAAUAUAAUGAGAAAAAAUUAAAUAUUAGAUUAUUAGGUGAAAUUUUAAUUAAUUAAAAAUUUUAUUUAAUGAUAUGAUUUAUUAAAUUUUAUAAAAAACUAGAAUUAGAUACUCUAUUAUUAAAAAUUAAAUUAAAAUACUAAAAUAGUAUAUGAUUAUUUAUAGAAACUUAAAUAAUUUGGCGGUAUUUUAGUUCAUUUAGAGGAAUCUGUUUAAUAAUUGAUAAUCCACGAAUAAAUUUACUUAAUUUAUAGAUUUUGUAUAUCGUUGUUAAAAAAAUAUUUUUUAAUAAAAAUAAUAUUUAAAAAUUUUUAAAAUAAAUUAAUUCAGAUCAAGAUGCAGAUUAUAAUUAAGAAUAAAAUGGAUUACAAUAAGGAAUAAUUAAAUGAAUAAUAUUUUUUAAAAAAUAUUAGAAGGUGGAUUUAAAUGUAAUUUUAUUUAGUUUAUUAAAAUGAUUAAAAAUUGAAAUAUGUACAUAUUGCCCGUCGCUUUCAUUAAUAAAUUGGAAUAAGUCGUAACAAAGUAGAGGUACUGGAAAGUGUUUCUAGAAAGAA